GAUGAAGAACGCAGCGAAAUGCGAUAAGUAGUGUGAAUUGCAGAAUUCAGUGAAUCAUCGAAUCUUUGAACGCACAUUGCGCCCCUUGGUAUCCCGAGGGGCAUGCCUGUUCGAGCGUCAUUUCACCACUCAAGCCUGGCUUGGUGUUGGGCGACGUCCUCUUUGGGGACGCGCCUCGAAACGCUCGGCGGCGUGGCACCGGCUUUAAGCGUAGCAGAAUCUUUCGCUUUGGAAGUCGGGGCCCCGUCUGCCGGAAGACCUGCUCGCAAGGUUGACCUCGGAUCAGGCAGGGAUACCCGCUGAACUUAAGCAUAUCAAUAAGUGGAGGA
rnacentral:misc_RNA from 1 species